rnacentral:lncRNA from 1 species
UUUUAAUGAGCAUUGAUUUGGGGUGAUUUGGAUCUGUAUUGACUUUGUAAGAACUUCGCAAAGCCAAAAUUUGAUUCAGAUAAUCCUUUUCAAAAAAUUUAUUCUUCUUUUUAACUUAGUUUUUAAGAAGUAAAAUUUGAGUUAAGAUCAACGGUUUAUUCAUUAGUUAUUGAGGUUUAAUUCUUUUGUAGAAAUUAAUAGAAUUGGUUAGGAUUUGAUUUAAGAUUAGGAUUUGAUAAGGGUUUGAUUUAGGAUUUAGUCAUGGUUUGGUUUAGGAUUUAGAGUUUGGUUAGGAUUUAAUUUAGGAUUAGGAUUUGAUUUAAGAUUAAGGGUUUGAUUAGGAUUUGAUCAAGAUUUGAUUUAAGAUUUAGGAUUUUAUUUGAGUUUGUUUAAGAUUUAAGAUUUAGUUAGUUUUUGGCCUAAAGUUUGAAUGAAGUAAGAUUUCAAUUAGGAUUAAAUUAAGAUUGAAUUGAGAUGUAUUUGAGAUAUGUUUGUAACCAUUCUUAUAUUUCUUUAAGAUUUCUUAUUAUUUCUUUAGAAUUCCUUUGAGGUUUCUUUGAAUUUGAUUAAAGCUUGUUUAGCAUUGUUAGUAUUCUAUUAGAAUUAGGAUUUUGUUGUUGCAAUUUUCAUUCUACCUUCCAUAGGCAAGUACCCGGAGCAUUCUCAAAUCAAAGUUUAUAUAUUACGACGUCUAAGAAAUAAACUAAGACUUCUGAAUCUUUGAUUGCAAAAGCUUCAUAAUUAUUAGAUCUUAAAUGUAAAUCUAUUAUAAAAUAAGAAGAAGAUUCUGAAGAAAGGAUAGGAUCUUUAUUAGAAAUUAUACAAGAUUCAAGGUGCAUGGUCCCUAUUGUAGCUAGACAAAUUCAUUUUCUAACACAUUGUCUUUUUUGAUAGUUAUGCUCCUCAUUUUAUGGUUUUGUCACUUCUUUGGACAAUGUUGAACAGUAUAUUUAGAUUCUGUAUAAUAUAAAGACAAUCCUUCUUGACAACGAUGAAUCUUUUCUUCCU